rnacentral:rRNA from 1 species
GAUGAACGCUGGCGGCGUGCCUAAUACAUGCAAGUCGAGCGAACAGAUGAGGAGCUUGCUCCUCUGACGUUAGCGGCGGAUGGGUGAGUAACACGUGGAUAACCUACCUAUAAGACUGGGAUAACUUCGGGAAACCGGAGCUAAUACCGGAUAAUAUAUUGAACCGCAUGGUUCAAUAGUGAAAGACGGUUUUGCUGUCACUUAUAGAGGGAUCCGCGCCGCAUUAGCUAGUUGGUAAGGUAACGGCUUACCAAGGCAACGAUGCGUAGCCGACCUGAGAGGGUGAUCAGCCACACUGGAACGGAGACACGGUCCAGACUCCUACGGGAGGCAGCAGUAGGGAAUCUUCCGCAAUGGGCGAAAGCCUGACGGAGCAACGCCGCGUGAGUGAUGAAGGUCUUCGGAUCGUAAAACUCUGUUAUUAGGGAAGAACAAAUGUGUAAGUAACUAUGCACGUCUUGACGGUACCUAAUCAGAAAGCCACGGCUAACUACGUG